rnacentral:lncRNA from 1 species
CGCCACCACCGCCACCGGAGUCGCGGGCCAGCCGGGCAGCCUCCGCGGGCCCCGGCCGGGGCGGGGGGCGCGGGCCACAGGCCCCUGCUCCGGCCGCCGCUUGCAGACCGCGGGCGCCGAUGUCGCCCGCGCCCCGCUAGGCUGAGCCUCGGGUCGGGCGAGGAGCCGCCGCAGCCGCCGCCGCCCGAGCCGCGGGCAGGAGCCUCGGGAGCCGCCGCCGCCGCCGCCGCCGCCCGGCCGGGCCCCGCCGCCGCCCGCGCGCCCCCGGGCCCCCGACACACAUGAGAUUCUUCAGGCUCACUUUCAAGUGCUUCGUGGACUGCUUCUGACUGCGCCGCCCGCGCCCCGCACCCCGCCGCCCGCCCGCCGCCCCGUCCCCCGGCCCGGCCGCCCCCCGGCCCCCGGCCGGCCCGCGCCCUCGGGGCCCUCCCCGGUGCCGCCGGUGCCCCCCGCCUGACCGCCGCCCCCCGUGAGGCGCCGCGACCCCGGCCCGGCCGUGCGGCCCGCCGAGGCCAUGGCGAAGAAGAGCGCCGAGAACGGCAUCUAUAGCGUGUCCGGCGACGAGAAGAAGGGCCCCCUCAUCGCGCCCGGGCCCGACGGGGCCCCGGCCAAGGGCGACGGCCCCGUGGGCCUGGGGACACCCGGCGGCCGCCUGGCCGUGCCGCCGCGCGAGACCUGGACGCGCCAGAUGGACUUCAUCAUGUCGUGCGUGGGCUUCGCCGUGGGCUUGGGCAACGUGUGGCGCUUCCCCUACCUGUGCUACAAGAACGGCGGAGGUGUGUUCCUUAUUCCCUACGUCCUGAUCGCCCUGGUUGGAGGAAUCCCCAUUUUCUUCUUAGAGAUCUCGCUGGGCCAGUUCAUGAAGGCCGGCAGCAUCAAUGUCUGGAACAUCUGUCCCCUGUUCAAAGGCCUGGGCUACGCCUCCAUGGUGAUCGUCUUCUACUGCAACACCUACUACAUCAUGGUGCUGG